AUUAAAUUACAUUUAUUUUCAAUUAUUAUUUUUAAAAAACAAUGUAAGAAAGGUAAACAAAAGUGGGGUCAUGAAAAUAUACCAUACAGAUGGAUUUAAUUAAUUUUCACCUUUAGCACACACACACACACACACACACACACACACACACACACACAAACCUGAGAAGUGAAAUUCAGAUCCACAUCUAGCCUUAAGCCUCAGACUCUGAACUUCAGGACAUUUUAAUCUCAGAUAUGCAAUCAUAAAAAAAUAAAAUAAAAUAAAAAAACGGACAAAAAAAGGUUAUUUUCAGGUAUUAACAAUGGCAACAAUGGUAAAAAGUUAUAUAUUUAAAAAAUUAUAUAUACAUUUACACACAUAUAUAAGUAUAUGCAAAAGUACUAUUAUAGUAUUCAGAUUGCAAAAGUUAAGUUUAUAAAACAUAAUUAAUCUUAGAUGUUGCAUUUGUUUGCUUCCAGACCAGAGCUUUUAAACUGCAGACCUAGAGCUUCUAGAUUGAAAUGCACCGGAUACUGACUGAUGUGAUGAGUGUAGUAUCAGUAUCAGUGUCUCUGUGUCAGAUUUCUGUAACAGAAGCACUGCUGUCCAUUGCUCUCAUAAGGACGCUGACUUUCAACCAUGCAUUGUGCAAAUGCAUCUGUACGCUGACUGAAAACAAGCAGGGUUCAGUGCAGGAUGGCUGGGUCAGGAGUUGCUCUGAGGUUGCACGAAUUUAAGGAAAGUCAGGACACCAAAAACCAUCCAACACACACUGCUCGCCGGCAGGGCCGAGAUGUUCUGGGACUGUAUCCCGGUCAGAUCGCAAGAGUGCAUGCCGUCAGCUCACAUCUGGACAGAUUGACGCCGAAGACUCCAGACAUGCAACAUUAUGAAUCUGGAGCAGUUAAGAAAUAUCAGAGGAGAAACUUCGAUCUGUUGACCCUUCAGGCCUCUCUUCUGUCCCAUCACAGAGAAACACACACAUCAAACACACCAAACGGACAGUCUAUAGGUGCUGAUUUCCAGAAGUUCACAUUGAGUUCACAUCCAGAGCCGCUGGAGCAGCAGCAGAGAUGAGAUCAUGCUCCUAUCAAAACUGCAAUCAAAACCUUUCGGUUGAGGAGAAAACAUUUUUUUGGUGAAAUGUAAUCACACAAUGACACAGCUCCAUCACAGCAGUCAUGUAAAACAUGCAUUUGAAAUUAUUUUCCACUGGCACACAACCAAGAACUGAAAGCUGCACAUACUUCUUGCUUUAAAAGCGGUACUCCACAUGAAACCUCAAGUACAAAUGUCAGUGAGUUUCACGUGAAUCGCUUUGUAAAGUGAUUACGUUCAGCUGCCUGAUCUGUGCAGUUGUGUUGGUUGAUAUUUACCUCAAAGUACAACUUUUGAAUAGCAGCAUACAUCAGUUAAAUGCAGUAUAGCCAUGUAAAUAUUUAAAUAUCCCAAUGCAAUUCAUUAGAUGUUUAAACAAAUGAGCUGCUAACAAGUGAGCAGUGAUCUCCACCUGCCUUUGAUACUUUAUGUGACAAAGGCCGUAGUGUGGGCGAAAUAUUUAAUCAUAUUUAACUAUUAGAUAUCAGUUAAUCACAGCCGUGAGAGGAUGAUGUUGACAUUUAUGCUGAGUCAUGCUGACAUUCAUCUUGUGUUCAAAAUAGCUCAAACUCUAUUGACCCAUCCUCACUUCCUGCAAACCGAUACCUUGCUUUAGAGAUGCAGAACAAUUGAAGUUUUCUUUGUCGGACAGUUGUCAAAUGGAUCGUGUCUGAUAUUCAAUACUUGCGUCAUAACACAUGAUCAUGUUUCUCGUCUGAUAGUUCAUUCUGUUCUCUCUCCAGAUUUUUCAUGGUGCAAUAAGGGAGUGUUUGUGUGAUACUGAACCUGAAUAAAUAAAAGUGUAUUUAAUAAUCCA
ensembl:lncRNA